rnacentral:rRNA from 1 species
AGAGUUUGAUCCUGGCUCAGGACGAACGCUGGCGGCGUGCCUAAUACAUGCAAGUAGAACGCUGAAGAGAGGAGCUUGCUCUUCUUGGAUGAGUUGCGAACGGGUGAGUAACGCGUAGGUAACCUGCCUUGUAGCGGGGGAUAACUAUUGGAAACGAUAGCUAAUACCGCAUAACAAUGGAUGACACAUGUCAUUUAUUUGAAAGGGGCAAUUGCUCCACUACAAGAUGGACCUGCGUUGUAUUAGCUAGUAGGUGAGGUAAUGGCUCACCUAGGCGACGAUACAUAGCCGACCUGAGAGGGUGAUCGGCCACACUGGGACUGAGACACGGCCCAGACUCCUACGGGAGGCAGCAGUAGGGAAUCUUCGGCAAUGGGGGCAACCCUGACCGAGCAACGCCGCGUGAGUGAAGAAGGUUUUCGGAUCGUAAAGCUCUGUUGUAAGUCAAGAACGGGUGUGAGAGUGGAAAGUUCACACUGUGACGGUAGCUUACCAGAAAGGGACGGCUAACUACGUGCCAGCAGCCGCGGUAAUACGUAGGUCCCGAGCGUUGUCCGGAUUUAUUGGGCGUAAAGCGAGCGCAGGCGGUUUGAUAAGUCUGAAGUUAAAGGCUGUGGCUCAACCAUAGUUCGCUUUGGAAACUGUCAAACUUGAGUGCAGAAGGGGAGAGUGGAAUUCCAUGUGUAGCGGUGAAAUGCGUAGAUAUAUGGAGGAACACCGGUGGCGAAAGCGGCUCUCUGGUCUGUAACUGACGCUGAGGCUCGAAAGCGUGGGGAGCGAACAGGAUUAGAUACCCUGGUAGUCCACGCCGUAAACGAUGAGUGCUAGGUGUUGGAUCCUUUCCGGGAUUCAGUGCCGCAGCUAACGCAUUAAGCACUCCGCCUGGGGAGUACGACCGCAAGGUUGAAACUCAAAGGAAUUGACGGGGGCCCGCACAAGCGGUGGAGCAUGUGGUUUAAUUCGAAGCAACGCGAAGAACCUUACCAGGUCUUGACAUCCCGAUGCUAUUUCUAGAGAUAGAAAGUUACUUCGGUACAUCGGUGACAGGUGGUGCAUGGUUGUCGUCAGCUCGUGUCGUGAGAUGUUGGGUUAAGUCCCGCAACGAGCGCAACCCCUAUUGUUAGUUGCCAUCAUUCAGUUGGGCACUCUAGCGAGACUGCCGGUAAUAAACCGGAGGAAGGUGGGGAUGACGUCAAAUCAUCAUGCCCCUUAUGACCUGGGCUACACACGUGCUACAAUGGUUGGUACAACGAGUUGCGAGUCGGUGACGGCGAGCUAAUCUCUUAAAGCCAAUCUCAGUUCGGAUUGUAGGCUGCAACUCGCCUACAUGAAGUCGGAAUCGCUAGUAAUCGCGGAUCAGCACGCCGCGGUGAAUACGUUCCCGGGCCUUGUACACACCGCCCGUCACACCACGAGAGUUUGUAACACCCGAAGUCGGUGAGGUAACCUUUUGGAGCCAGCCGCCUAAGGUGGGACAGAUGAUUGGGGUGAAGUCGUAACAAGGUA